CACGUAGGGGACGAGCGUUGUCCGGAAUUACUGGGCGUAAAGGGCGCGUAGGCGGUGCAGCAAGUCAGCUGUGAAAUGUCUGGGCUCAACUCGGGCAUGCGGUUGAGACUGUUGUGCUGGAGUGCUGUAGAGGCAAGUGGAAUUCCCAGUGUAGCGGUGAAAUGCGUAGAUAUUGGGAGGAACACCGGUGGCGAAGGCGACUUGCUGGGCAGCAACUGACGCUGAGGCGCGAAGGCCAGGGGAGCAAACAGG
rnacentral:rRNA from 1 species